rnacentral:rRNA from 1 species
AUUGAACGCUGGCGGCAGGCUUAACACAUGCAAGUCGAGCGAGCGGCGGACGGGUGAGUAAUGUCUGGGAAACUGCCUGAUGGAGGGGGAUAACUACUGGAAACGGUAGCUAAUACAGCAUACCAUCAGAUGUGCCCAGAUUGGAUUAGCUAGUAGGUGGGGUAAUGGCUCACCUAGGCCACGAUCCCUAGCUGGUCUGAGAGGAUGACCAGCCACACUGGAGCUGGUACACGGUCCAGACUCCUAAGGGGGGGAGCAGUGGGGAAUAUUGGACAGUGGGCGGAAGCCUGAUGCAGCCAUGCCGGGUGUGUGAAGAAGGCCUUCGGGUUGUAAAGCACUUUCAGCGAGGAGGCGUUACUCGCAGAAGAAGCACCGGCUAACUCCGUGCCAGCAGCCGCGGGAAUA